AGUCAGGGCCUGAUCCAAAGCCCAUUGGAGACAAUUGGAGUCUUUCCAUUUACUUCAGUGGGCUUUGGAUCAGGCCUUGAAUUU
rnacentral:pre_miRNA from 1 species